AUUGAACGCUGGCGGCAUGCCUUACACAUGCAAGUCGAACGGUAACGCGGGGCAACCUGGCGACGAGUGGCGAACGGGUGAGUAAUGCAUCGGAACGUGCCCAGUAGUGGGGGAUAGCCCGGCGAAAGCCGGAUUAAUACCGCAUACGACCUACGGGUGAAAGCGGGGGACCGUAAGGCCUCGCGCUAUUGGAGCGGCCGAUGUCAGAUUAGGUUGUUGGUGGGGUAAAAGCCUACCAAGCCGACGAUCUGUAGCUGGUCUGAGAGGACGACCAGCCACACUGGGACUGAGACACGGCCCAGACUCCUACGGGAGGCAGCAGUGGGGAAUUUUGGACAAUGGGGGCAACCCUGAUCCAGCCAUGCCGCGUGCGGGAAGAAGGCCUUCGGGUUGUAAACCGCUUUUGUCAGGGAAGAAACGCUCUGGGCUAAUACCCCGGGGUAAUGACGGUACCUGAAGAAUAAGCACCGGCUAACUACGUGCCAGCAGCCGCCGUAAUAC
rnacentral:rRNA from 1 species